AAACUGUGUUAGGAGGGCAUCUCCUGAUCAUCUACUUUUAUCUCUCCCAAGCCUCAUAGAGGGACUCUCCAUCUUUAUGUCUGAAGGUGUGGACAUCCACUCUAAGCUU